ACAAAAGGAAUAAUAAGUGCCCUUGCUCGGUCAGACACAGAGCUAGACCAAGAAUAUAAUUCAAGAAAUUCUACAUAUUAAAAACAUGGAAAGGAAAUAAACAAAAACCCUAAACAAACAAAAAAACCCCAAAACUGCAGGGGAAAGGAUGUAACAUGGAAGUAUAAGAGAAACAAAUGGAGAGCAGGUCUUGAAAAGAAAGGAGGAUACACAAUGU